CUCGUUCAUUCAGAAGAAAUUCUGAACGGAAGUAGGUAAUGACACCGAAGGAACGCAUC
rnacentral:ncRNA from 10 species